AGAUGAUGAAAAAGUUGUGGAAAUAGUGGUGAUGGUUCCACAACAUUGAGAAUGUACUUAAUGCCAUCGAAUCGCAUGCUUAAAAUAGGUAAGUGGUAAAUUUGGUUAUGUAUAUUGUACCACAGUUUUAAAAAAAUGGUUAGGAAAAAAACAGCACUGAAUUGAAAGGUGGCUAUCAUCACACUUCUUGGCUCCGGCAAUGCACAAUCCCAUCCCCUACUAACUCAUGGCACUAUAACCCCCUAGGAAAGUGUGUGUGUGUGUGUGUGUGUGUGUGUGUGUGUGUGUGUGUGUAGGAGCCAUAAACAGCUUGUGCUUUUUGUAACCCUGUUCACCUGUGGGUAAGGGAGGACAGUCUUCUUCUGAUGCAGUUACCCCAGUUCAACCUCUGUUUGAAAAUCAAGUUCACAUCCAUAAAUGUGAUGUGGUGGCAGGCCAGUCUCACUAACGCAGGCUUCCAUAACAACCGUUUCAGUACUGACUGAGUGGUUAAGUUCAAUAUUGAAAGCCAGUGCCCCUAUACAAAGGCUGGAAUGUAACAAAAGCCCACCAAGAGUUUUGCCUAGGCCUUUCCUGGGCCUUAAAGUAUGACAAAAUAAUGAAGGAAUUCUUAACAGGACCCAUUUAGGAUUAAGCAAGUUUUAUUGGGGGUGAAGAAACUCCCCAGGCCUCCACAAACAAGUUUACUGGGGGUCUGAAGGAACUACCUAAACCUCCCUGAUUUAGCAGGAGACAAGAUAAGGGUAAUCACCCCAGCACCUGGACCCAUUUAGAUUAGGUAAACUUACUGAGGCUCUAGAGGAAGGUCUUCAGGACUCAGACCUUAGUUAUAGAUGAGAAGAAGUUAAUCACUUACGUCUUUAGAUGAAUGCACACUUACACAUAGACAUAUAGCUUAGAAGGUAUAUAAGCUCUGGAAAACUGUAAUUUUGAGUUGGUCUGGCAAUAAUUUCCAGGCCUUUUCCCUGUAACUAGUUACAGAAAUCAAAACUCUCUUCCUCCCCUGUUAAUCUGCAUCUCAUUAUUAGGCCACGAGAAACAGCAGCCUGACCCUCAGUUUGGUCUCAGAACAAUGUUAGCCUCCUAUGUUAGCUUUGAAUUUUUAUUUCAUUUGAGGUUUCUAUAAGGUAUUCAAUGUUAGAUGGAGCUGGUUGUGGGUCUAAAAGCUAACCUAAUCCUUCGUUCAAUAAACAUUUAUUGAGCACCAACUUUUAAGGGGACCCUCAACUGAACUAAGACUAAUAAGUUAAUCCCUGCCCUCGAGGGGGUUUGCAUCUAGCUGAGAGAUGAACUUCUCAAUAAGUAAGUGUACUAGCACACAUCACAGCUGUUUUGAUAAUGAGUCUACACAGGCCUGAAAAGGCAGAAAUCUAGUACAGGCUCGGUGCUGGGAAAAUUUUCUAGUCAGUGUUGAGUCCCUGUUAAUUGUGUUGAUUCACUACUUCCUCUGUUAAUUACUCCUUGAAUUACCACCAAAAUGAUAACACACAGUGAACUACUACAUAUGUCUAGGCUCUGACUAAAAUAAAUGUAUUUCAAGGGGAAACUAUGGUCAAUAUCACGGAUUGUAAUAAAGCAACGUUUUAAGAGAACUCCAAUGCCAAUUUGAAUGCUUUCUGCCUAUGUACAUUGGCUAUUACAUACUGGCAAGAUAAAUUCCAAGCUGGCUUUCCACUUCUGUCGUCAAUCUAGGACUUGUGAUUUGCUUUAACUCCCCUAUUCACAUACUUAGGACACAGGGAAUAAAAAUUACAAUCAUGAGCCAAAAUGAAAUCGACAUAGGCAAAGAGUGAUUACCUGAGCAUCUGAAUUAAAUUCUCCAAAGCUAAAGAGCCUGGACCUUAAUUGCAAUUCUGCUGCUUUCUCCUCUUCUCUCACACAAUUAGCUUUAAGCAUUUCUUCUUGCUCCAAAAGAAACUCUAUGUUGCUAUUUCUAUUGCAAAAGAAGAAAGAGACCCUCAUCUGAAAUUUGUGGUUAGUGAAAUAGCCAUCAGUCAGGAGCUUCAACACUCUAGAUCAUGUGUCAAAAUCCAUGUAGUGAGCCAAAUACAAGCCUGUAUUUGAAGACAUUGCCAAAGUACAUGCAACUUUUCAAGUUAAAAUGAGAAAAAUACAUGCACAAAUCCUGCUUUUAACUUCCAUCAGAAGGCAUUUGCUUCCCCUCCCCUACUUUUGUGGUUCCCCUUGAGUUCCCCCAAAUAGCAGCAGAGCGGAGGCAUCAGGAACCCAGUGUUCUCAAAUGUGGCUGAUAAUCAGAAUAUCUGGGGAGCCAAGAGGGAAAAUAUAGACUCCUAACUCCCUCACCUAGAGAUUCUGAUAAGAUCCUCUAGAGAUGGAUUCUAUAGAUCACCCUUUCCUGACCACCUGCACCCACCCUGUCCCAGAAAAUCUUAUUGUGGAGGUGGGUGGAGGGCCACCAGACACUGUGAGGACUGGAAAAGAUACAAGGAUUAAAAAGUCUCACAGAUGAUAAUGGGUAGCUGUGAGAUAAUGAUUUUUAGGUUCUUACCUUCUGAGCAAAUUAAUUUGUCUUGAAGUUAAAUGUAGUUUGACCUAUUGUUUAAAAAGAUUUUUCAUCUUCUGGCCCAGAAAACUUUCUGAAAAAAAAGAUUCUACACAUUUUUGCAAUGAGUAGAUAUAAAGAUCUAUUCUCUGUAAUUCAACUCUUUUUCAAGUUUGUAAUAUUAUAUAUUUUUAGAUGAGGAAGGAAUUUUGUGAGGGAUCAAAUCCAGCCGCUUUCCCCUGACAGAAAUCCUUUCUAUAUUUGCCCUGAUAUCUUGACAGGAACUUUAUAAAAUGAUAUAAUAUUUAAUCACAAAAAUUUUUUUUUGAGAGUCAUGGCCAGUGACAAUACAUCUGUUAGCAUUAUCAUCCACAGCAUGAUUUGGUAAAGUAAAUGACAGCUAGCCAAGAGGGUGAAAACUACACUGGACAAAAGUUAAGGCAGUAGGUACCAUUUUAAUUCUUUUUAGUCUUUUUUCAAAAUAUCUUUUAUUGUUACUAGCUAGGAAAAUAUGUUGACAAGUGAAAGGAAGUAGGGACAAAAUUAAAGCCAGUCUAUUCUGUGUAAAUGUGACAUCUACCGUUUGCACUCCACAAUGUAAACUAUUAAAAACCCCAGCCUACAUUCACAGAGACCACGAGGAAGAGCCACAUGUGGAUGAGUUGGACCCAGCCUCUGGUUAGAAAUUGCUUAAUGGAAUAAAUAUACUUGUUUAUAAUGACUUACGUUUUAUCCUGUAUAACUUUUUCUCUUUUGUUUACCUCUUCAAGAUUUUCAUCUACAUCUUGGGAAUAUUGAAACAAAGUAAGAUUCUGCUCUUCCAGCUCUCUGAGGACUUGAAGUAACUCCUCUGGUUCCUUGAAAUAAAGCGCUGGCUCCUAAUUAAUCAAUAAUGAAGAAUAUAAUUUACUUAAAAAUACGCUACCUAUGCACAUGUGACUUAUCUAGAAAAUAUAGUGGGGUAAAGGAAGGUAUUUCUAAGCAUGAGGGAGACGCAGGUAGGGAUUUGUAUGGGAAACUCGUCUAUUUCCAAGUGAGAGCUGGCUCUCAGAAAGAGCACAUUUGAAGUGUUGUGGGGAGAUAAGGAUAUUAAAAAAGGGAUGGGGAAGAAAAAAGGAAGAAGAGGGC